CCCCCCGGUGGCAAGCGUUGUCCGGAAUUAUUGGGCGUAAAGCGCGCGCAGGCGGCCUCUUAAGUCUGAUGUGAAAGCCCCCGGCUCAACCGUGGAGGGUCAUUGGAAACUGGAGGACUUGAGUGCAGAAGAGGAAAGUGGAAUUCCACGUGUAGCGGUGAAAUGCGUAGAGAUGUGGAGGAACACCAGUGGCGAAGGCGACUCUUUGGCCUAUAACUGACGCUGAGGCGCGAAAGCGUGGGGAGCAAACAGG
rnacentral:misc_RNA from 1 species